rnacentral:rRNA from 1 species
UACGUUGGGUGCGAGCGUUAAUCGGAAUUACUAGGCGUAAAGCGUGCGCAGGCGGUUUUGUAAGCCAGAUGUGAAAUCCCCGGGCUCAACCUGGGAAUGGCAUUUGGGACUGCAAGGCUGGAGUGUGGCAGAGGGGACUAGAAUUCCUGGUGUAGCAGUGAAAUGCGUAGAUAUCAGGAGGAAUACCGAUGGCGAAGGCAGGUCCCUGGGCUAACACUGACGCUCAUGCACGAAAGCGUGGGGAGCAAACAGG